rnacentral:rRNA from 1 species
AACGAACGCUGGCGGCAGGCUUAACACAUGCAAGUCGAGCGCGUAGCAAUACGAGCGGCAGACGGGUGAGUAACGCGUGGGAAUCUACCGUACCCUACGGAAUAGCUCUGGGAAACUGGAGGUAAUACCGUAUACGCCCUAACGGGGAAAGAUUUAUCGGGGUAUGAUGAGCCCGCGUUGGAUUAGCUAGUUGGUGGGGUAAAGGCCUACCAAGGCGACGAUCCAUAGCUGGUCUGAGAGGAUGAUCAGCCACAUUGGGACUGAGACACGGCCCAAACUCCUACGGGAGGCAGCAGUGGGGAAUAUUGGACAAUGGGCGCAAGCCUGAUCCAGCCAUGCCGCGUGAGUGAUGAAGGUCUUAGGAUUGUAAAGCUCUUUCACCGAUGAAGAUAAUGACGGUAGUCGGAGAAGAAGCCCCGGCUAACUUCGUGCCAGCCGCCGCGGUAA